GAUGAACGCUGGCGGCGUGCCUAACACAUGCAAGUCGAACGGAGAUUCCGGACGGAAGUUUUCGGAUGGAAGCCUGUAAUUCUUAGUGGCGGACGGGUGAGUAACGCGUGGGCAACCUGCACUAUACAGGGGGAUAGCAGCUGGAACCGGUGGUUAGACCGAACAAGGUGGUUCAAUAGCAAGAUUUGGUUGGGAAAUGAGCAAUCAGGGAAAGGAUGGGGCCGCGGCCGAUUAGUCAGUUGGCAGGGUAAAAGCCCACCAAAGCGACGAUCGGUAGCCGGACUGAGAGGUCGGACGGCCACAUUGGGACUGAGACACGGCCCAAACUCCUACGGGAGGCAGCAGUGGGGGAUAUUGCACAAUGGAGGAAACUCUGAUGCAGCGACGCCGCGUGAGUGAAGAAGUAUUUCGGUAUGUAAAGCUCUAUCAGCAGGGAAGAUGAUGACGGUACCUGACUAAGAAGCCCCGGCUAACUACGUG
rnacentral:rRNA from 1 species